rnacentral:rRNA from 1 species
AGUGAACGCUGGCGGUAGGCCUAACACAUGCAAGUCGAACGGCAGCACAGUAAGAGCUUGCUCUUACGGGUGGCGAGUGGCGGACGGGUGAGGAAUACAUCGGAAUCUACUUUUUCGUGGGGGAUAACGUAGGGAAACUUACGCUAAUACCGCAUACGACCUACGGGUGAAAGCAGGGGAUCUUCGGACCUUGCGCGAUUGAAUGAGCCGAUGUCGGAUUAGCUAGUUGGCGGGGUAAAGGCCCACCAAGGCGACGAUCCGUAGCUGGUCUGAGAGGAUGAUCAGCAACCAUAGAGCUGAGACACGGUCCACAGUCCUACGAGAGGCACCAGUGGGGAAUAUUGGACAAUGAGCGCAAGCAUGAUCUAGCCAUACCGAGUGUGUGAAGAAGGCCUUCGGGUUGUAAAGCCCUUUUGUUGGGAAAGAAAAGCAGCAGGUUAAUACCCCGCUGUUCUGACGGUACCCAAAGAAUAAGCACCGGCUAACUUCGUG